rnacentral:misc_RNA from 1 species
AAGUCGUAACAAGGUUUCCGUAGGUGAACCUGCGGAAGGAUCAUUAAUAAAUGAGCGAAAGCUUUAUAUAUUAUUCCAUAACACCUGUGAACUAUUUGCCCUUCUCUUCAUUGAGGGGGUACACCUUACAAACAUAACUGUAACGAAUGUAAUCUAUUAUAACAUAAUACAACUUUCAACAACGGAUCUCUUGGCUCUC